rnacentral:rRNA from 1 species
UACGAAGGGGGCUAGCGUUGCUCGGAAUUACUGGGCGUAAAGCGCACGUAGGCGGCUCUUUAAGUCGGGGGUGAAAUCCUGGAGCUCAACUCCAGAACUGCCUUCGAUACUGAAGAGCUUGAGUCCGGGAGAGGUGAGUGGAACUGCGAGUGUAGAGGUGAAAUUCGUAGAUUAUUCGCAAGAACACCAGUGGCGAAGGCGGCUCACUGGCCCGGUACUGACGCUGAGGUGCGAAAGCGUGGGGAGCAAACAGG